UGUCUCGUGUAUUCUUACUUUCCAUUUACAGAAGUAACCUCUCGCUUUCUCAAUUUUUAGGCCUUUUCUGAUGACAUUAAAAAAUGGCAGGAGCUAUCACCAGAAACCGGUGGAAAAAGGAAGAGAAAAGAAAUGAACCAGUACUCUUACAUCGAUUUCGAGUAGAACAAGGUGACAUAAAAAUAGAAAAGAGGAUGUUCUUUCUUGAAAAUGAGCGACGACAUUGUAGGUCCUAUGACCUGCGUGCUCUCCUUCCAGCUGUGCAACAAGAGCAGGAGUUCCAUGAGCAGAAAAUCAAAGGGAUGGCAGAGCAUGAAUACUUAGCUUACCCUGCAGAUGAAUGAAGAAUAGUAUCAAAAGGACGGCCAGCUGAUUGAGUGUCGCUGCUGCUAUGGGGAAUUUCCAUUCGAGGAGCUGACGCAGUGCACAGAUGCUCACUUGUUCUGCAAAGAGUGUCUCAUCAGAUACGCCCAAGAGGCAGUCUUUGGAUCUGGAAAGGUAAGAACUGUGUAAUACGUCCCAUGUAUAUAGGACACAUUCCUGGAGUCUAAGGAGACCAUGUUGAU
rnacentral:lncRNA from 1 species